GACGAACCGUGCGAACGUUGUUCGGAAUCACUGGGCUUAAAGGGCGCGUAGGCGGCAGGCCAAGUCCGGGGUGAAAUCCCCCGGCUCAACCGGGGAACAGCGCGUGAUACUGGCAGGCUUGAGGUCGGUAGGGGUGAGUGGAACUCCAGGUGGAGCGGUGAAAUGCGUAGAUAUCAGGAGGAACACCGGUGGCGAAGGCGGGUCUCUGGGCCGAUACUGACGCUGAGGAGCGAAAGCGUGGGGAGCGAACAGG
rnacentral:rRNA from 1 species